rnacentral:rRNA from 1 species
UUGUUGCAGUUAAAAAGCUCGUAGUUGGAUCUAGGGACGCGCAUUUCAAGCGCCCGUGUCGUCGGGUCAAACCGGCGACUGCGUUGGCGUUGCGGGCUCGGUCCGUCGGUGCCCCACAAAGGUUAUCGGCGGGUCAACCGGCCCGCCCGUCCCCUCCUUCUGGAUUCCCGUUCCUGCUAUUGAGUUAGUGGGGACGUCACAGGGGGUUCAUCGUCGACGUGUUUCAACGCGUCGGCGGUGGAUCUCUGGGGCCCAGAUCGUUUACCGUGAAAAAAUUAGAGUGUUCAAAGCAGGCAGAUUCAAUUUUCUGCCACCGAAUACAUUAGCAUGGGAUAAUGGAAUAGGACCCUGUCCUCCUAUUUUCAGUUGGUUUUGGCAGCGCGAGGACUAGGGUAAUGAUUAAUAGGGAUAGUUGGGGGCAUUAAUAUUUAAUUGUCAGAGGUGAAAUUCUUGGAUUUAUGAAAGAUUAACUUCUGCGAAAGCAUCUGCCAAGGAUGUUUUCAUUAAUCAAGAACGAAAGUUAGGGGAUCGAAGACGAUCAGAUACCGUCGUAGUCUUAACCAUAAACGAUGCCGACCAGCGAUUAGGAGACGUUGAAUACAAAACACCACCAUCGGCGCGGUCGUCCUUGGCGCGUUCGUGUUCACGCACGGGCGCGCGAGGGCGGCUUAGCCCGGUGGCACCGGUGAAUGACUCCCCUAGCAGCUUGUGAGAAAUCAUAAGUCUUUGGGUUCCGGGGGGAGUAUGGUCGCAAGGCUGAAACUUAAAGGAAUUGACGGAAGGGCA